rnacentral:pre_miRNA from 1 species
AAUGUACUCCCUCCGUCCGGAAUUACUUGUCAUCAAAAUGGAUGAAAAUGAAUGUAUCUAGAACUAAAAUACAUCUAGAUACAUCCAUUUCAAUGACAAGUAUUUCCGGACGGAGGGAGUAUAAA